UUAAGCCAUGCGAGUCGAACGAGUUUAGGCUCGUGGCGUACGGCUCAGUAACACGUGGAUAACCUACCCUUAGGACUGGGAUAACCCUGGGAAACUGGGGAUAAUACUAGAUAGGCAAUUUUUCCUGGAAUGGUUUUUUGUUUAAAUGUUUUUUCGCCUAAGGAUGGGUCUGCGGCCGAUUAGGUAGUUGGUUAGGUAACGGCUUACCAGGCCAUUGAUCGGUACGGGUUGUGAGAGCAAGAGCCCGGAGAUGGAACCUGAGACAAGGUUCCAGGCCCUACGGGGUGCAGCAGGCGCGAAACCUCCGCAAUGUGAGGAAUCGCGACGGGGGGAUCCCAAGUGCCAUUCUUAACGGGAUGGCUUUUCAUUAGUGUAAAGAGCUUUUGGAAUAAGGGCUGGGCAAGACCGGUGCCAGCCGCCGCGGUAA
rnacentral:rRNA from 1 species